GGAGAAGGGGCAGCCUUUUUAUGCCAAAACAGGAAAGAAUGAAGACGGUCAGCGUGGAGAAUCCUGAAGGGAAUAGUUCGAUUUUCAGUGGGUUCUGACGCUCUGGAGACGUCACCACGAUGUAGCAUCUGCGAUGUGGUGGCAUCAUCACGGAGCGCCACGGGCGGUGGGGUUCUGGCCACGUGACGGGACCCAGUAGCGCUGCCAGGGGUUAAAGCGUCUGCCAGGCUCCCCGGUCUUCCGCCGCAAUUGUGGCUCCCCCUUUGUUCCUUGACUGUUGAAUUGCUUCUGCGGUACCGUCGUCCCUUCACCGAACAUUCUGCAACUCUCUAAUUCUAACCCAGAUUAUUUUAGCCUUGGGCACCCUUAAAACGUCUGCAACAGGAUUGGGAACAAACAGUAAUCUCUGGGAAAUCAAAUAACCCUCACUCAGCUUUAUCGCCCGAGGCAACGAUUAGAAGUCUGAGAAGGAAAAAAGCUACUAGAAAAAUGCAGGCUGGCCAUUGUCAUGGUGAAGAAGCUUCUGGAGUGCAGUACAAAAAUAGACAAACUGCAAUUACUUAUAAGAUGCAUGAAUGUCACGGACCUGACGUUAAGGGAAAGAAGCCAGAUAGAGUUUACAUCGUUUGGUUUUAUUGAAAUGAAGUGUAAAACCAGCAAAAGUCAUUAGUUAUGGUGUUAAAAAUCAGGAUAGUCUUUCCUUGGAUGGGGAGGACAAUGACAAACCACAAGGAGGCUUUUGAGGUUUAUAUAAUGUCCUAUGUCUUGAUUUGGAUGUUGGUUGCAGGUAUGUUCCCUUUGUAGAAAUUUCAUGGAGCUAUACACUGGAGUGCAAUUUUUUUUUUUUUGUAUGUUACACUUAGCUAAAAGUUAUAUUUAAGUAGGCAGGAAUUUUCCCAAGAAGAUGAAAUGUUACACUGAUACAAUUGUCAAAAUUGAUAGAAUGAACUCCUAAGUUCUGUGCA